GAUGAACGCUGGCGGCGUGCCUAAUACAUGCAAGUCGAGCGAACAGACGAGGAGCUUGCUCCUCUGACGUUAGCGGCGGACGGGUGAGUAACACGUGGAUAACCUACCUAUAAGACUGGGAUAACUUCGGGAAACCGGAGCUAAUACCGGAUAAUAUAUUGAACCGCAUGGUUCAAUAGUGAAAGACGGUUUUGCUGUCACUUAUAGAUGGAUCCGCGCCGCAUUAGCUAGUUGGUAAGGUAACGGCUUACCAAGGCAACGAUGCGUAGCCGACCUGAGAGAGUGAUCGGCGACAUGGGAACUGAGACACGGUCCAGACGCCUACGGGAGGCAGCAGUCGGGAAUCUUACGCAGUGGGCGAAAGCCUGACGGAGCAACGCCGCGUGAGUGAUGAAGGUCUUCGGAUCGUAAAACUCUGUUAUUAGGGAAGAACAAAUGUGUAAGUAGCUAUGCACGUCUUGACGGUACCUAAUCAGAAAGCCACGGCUAACUACGUG
rnacentral:rRNA from 1 species